UACGGAGGAGGCAAGCGUUAUCCGGAAUUAUUGGGCGUAAAGCGUCCGCAGGUGGCACUUCAAGUCUGUCGUCAAAGACUGGGGCUUAACCCUGGAAAGGCGGUGGAGACUGAAGCGCUAGAGUGUGGUAGGGGUAGAGGGAAUUCCCGGUGUAGCGGUGAAAUGCGUAGAGAUCGGGAAGAACAUCGGUGGCGAAGGCGCUCUACUGGACCACAACUGACACUCAGGGACGAAAGCGUGGGGAGCAAACAGG
rnacentral:rRNA from 1 species